UUCAGCUCUUAUGCUGAGGCCAAACACAUCUCAAGAAAAAACUGCUUGGUUUACCAAAUACACAGGUGAUGACAAUGCAUUUAUGUUCCCUGGCAAACUGAGUUAAACAAACAGGGACUAAGUUGGGCAGACAUUAUAGGAGGUAAUACUUUGCUAUAACUUAACUAGGAGCAGUUUAUUCUCCUUUCCACUUACGGCAAUCACUAUGCAUCACUCUCCCAAGAGAAGAGCAUUGUGGAGAAAAAAUUACAACAUACAAAGUCUUGCGAGUGCAGUAACUAUGCAAUAGGGGACAGUAGCUAAAAUGAAAUAUUUAAGCGUAUGUACAUCUGUCUCCUUUUUAUAAAAAUUAUGGUUGUUUUUACCUCAGAUAUUAAACUGUUAAAUUAAGUCCUGAAAACUCAGUCGCUCAGCUCUCAGUGUGCCUAAAUUCAAGCCGCCUUUCAGUAACAUCAGGUUCUGUGCAAAUAAACAGUAGGUUUCAAUUGUCUGCUGCUAAUUAUCGCCCAAAUUUGAUUUGCACGCUCUUCAAAGGGACUCAUAUCUUUCCAUUUAGCUAUUUGUUUCACUGCGAUGAAUCUUUAAUUCAAGCCAAAUGUGGGUCAAUUUCCAGCUGAAGAAAAAAAAAAAGCUUGGAAUGUGUUUAUCCACGGUCAUACCAGUAUCUCUUUUUAGUUUUAUGUAUGUUUUGAUUCAUGGCCUCGAUGGGGAGGUGAAUUUGUGUCAAUCUGUGAAUUGGCUUUGCUUGUUUGGCAAGUUUGUGAAGGGUUUGGUCAGUUGUAGAGGGGCUUAAGUAAUUGUGUGUAAUGGAAAGUUUCUGGUGGGCUUUAGUGUGAGCAAUGCAAGUCCUGAAAUUACACAGGCACAAAAAAUCUCAUUACGCUCGAAUUCCCAUCCUGCCUAUAAAAAGAUAUCUGUGCCAGGAUGAAGUGGGGAGAUGGAAUAACACAGUCUAGAUUUUUUCUCUACUUCAUUGACUCUGAAUUAAUGAAUGCGCAUACUGUAUCUGCAGUCUCCUUGGCUGCCACUAUGACCCUGUCCAGAGCCAUAAAAUUUCAUUCAUGGAACUGAAGGAAUUCUGGACAUUUUCCCUUUUAAAUUAAUAGAAAGCACCAAAUGCAAGACACAGGGCUAUGGCAGGCAAAAAAAAAUCACUGUAAUAAAUACCACAUGUGAUCAAGAUUUAUGAAGCAGACAAUAAAGACUAAUUUAAAAAGAGAAAUCCCUCUAUUCUCUUUCAUGUGGCUGAAGGCAUCAUUUCUGGCUGUCUUUACAGGAGAUUUAUUCAAAGAUUUAACACCCCCUUCUGUUUUUCUUCUCCUGAAAGCUUGGAGGAGGAUAGUUUAUUAACUUACUAUUCUUUAGGUUCACAUAUGACCUCUGUUUUCUUUUAUCAUGGAGUAGUUGGUGGGCGUUUGGGAUAUUUUUUUCUUGAAAGAUAUUUUUUCAAGAUACUUCUUCAGUAUGAUGUGGCAUUUUCUGUAUUUAUUUAUUCAUCUCCUAAUAAGAAUAUCUUUUCAUUGUGAUUGUGUAAAGUGUGUCUCAACAGGGUCUGAUACAGGGAAUUCAUCUUUGCCAAAUAGGAACUUUUUUUUUUGUUGAGUUCUGUGUUUCUGGUUUCAAGUUCUAUGUAAUUGGUUAAUAUCCAUAAUCUUUUUAAAGUUUAUUUUCAGUCCUGUCAAGUCCAAUCCAUAUAUUCCCCCUCAGCAACGCAGGUGAAGUAUGUGUUGUUAAAAUGUGCUGGAUGCAGUGUACAGGACACAUCAGGAUGUAUAUGAUAGAAGUUUCAGGGUUGGAAUAUCUCAGCAUUUGUUGACAAAAGCAGGGGGAUCCUACUCAUUUAACAAAAGGAUUAAUAAUACACUUCAGAACAUACACCAGCUUGUCACAAUUGAAAUGAGAGAAAAUCCGAAGGUAGGCACAUUCAGAUUCAUGGAUAUGUAUUUCAUUUAAAUUUCGUUUAUUUUUCUUAGGAUUUGGUUUUGAUGUACAUAGGCAUCUCUUCUUUCCUUUUUUUUUUUUUUUUUUUUGUAAUAUUUGUGGCUAUUUUGCACAGGUGAUGAAUAGAACUGCAAUAUUAUUUCUAUAAGAUACAGUUUGCAAUUUGAGGUUUUAAGUAAAUGACCAUAUC
ensembl:lncRNA